rnacentral:rRNA from 1 species
AGCGAACGCUGGCGGCAGGCUUGACACAUGCAAGUCGAGCGGGCAUCCUUGUGGUGUCAGCGGCAGACGGGUGAGUAACGCGUGGGAACGUGCCCUUCGGUUCGGAAUAACUCAGGGAAACUUGAGCUAAUACCGGAUACGUGCGAGAGCAGAAAGGUUUAUCUGCCGAAGGAUCGGCCCGCGUCUGAUUAGCUAGUUGGUGAGGUUAUGGCUCACCAAGGCGACGAUCAGUAGCUGGUCUGAGAGGAUGAUCAGCCACACUGGGACUGAGACACGGCCCAGACUCCUACGGGAGGCAGCAGUGGGGAAUAUUGGACAAUGGGGGCAACCCUGAUCCAGCCAUGCCGCGUGAGUGAUGACGGCCUUAGGGUUGUAAAGCUCUUUUCUUCGGGACGAUAAUGACGGUACCGGAGGAAUAAGCCCCGGCUAACUUCGUG